UGGGGUAUCGUUCAACGGUAGGACAGCUGAUUCUGGAUCAGUCAAUUGGGGUUCGAAUCCCUGUACCCCAGCCA
rnacentral:tRNA from 2 species